CAGAGGGUGCGAGCGUUAAUCGGAAUUACUGGGCGUAAAGCGCGCGUAGGCGGCUUUGCAAGUCGGGUGUGAAAUCCCCAGGCUUAACCUGGGAACUGCAUUCGAGACUGCAUUGCUAGAGUAUGGGAGAGGGAAGUGGAAUUUCCGGUGUAGCGGUGAAAUGCGUAGAUAUCGGAAGGACAUCAGUGGCGAAAGCGACUUCCUGGACCAAUACUGACGCUCAUGUGCGAAAGCGUGGGGAGCAAACAGGAUUAGAUACCCUGGUAGUCCACGCCAUAAACGAUGACAACUGGAUGUCGGGAGGGUCUGCCUCUCGGUGUCGUAGCUAACGCGUUAAGUUGUCCGCCUGGGGAGUACGGCCGCAAGGUUG
rnacentral:rRNA from 1 species